GACAUACUCCCUUCGUCCAGAAUUAUUUGUCACAGAAAUAGAUGUAUCUAGAUGUUUUUUAAUUUACAUUCAUUUUUAUCCAUUGCUAUGACAAGUUAUUCCUGACGGAGGGAGUAGAUU
rnacentral:pre_miRNA from 1 species